CCAAUAGCGUAUAUUAAAGUUGUUGCAGUUAAAAAGCUCGUAGUUGAAUUUCGGGAUCAAUAUGUUGGUCGUGCCUUGGUACGUACUAGUUUAUUGGUUUCUCCCUUCUGACGAACCAUGAUGUCAUUAAUUUGGUGUCAUGUGGAAUCAGAACUGUUACUUUGAAAAAAUUAGAGUGUUUAAAGCAGGCUCACGCUUGAAUACAUUAGCAUGGAAUAAUGAAAUAGGACGUUUGAUUCUAUUUUUUUGGUUUCUAGGAUUGACGUAAUGAUUAAUAGGGAUAGUUGGGGGCAUUAGUAUUCAAUUGUCAGAGGUGAAAUUCUUGGAUUUAUUGAAGACUAACUACUGCGAAAGCAUUUGCCAAGGAUGUUUUCAUUAAUCAAGAACGAAAGUUAGGGGAUCGAAGACGAUCAGAUACCGUCGUAGUCUUAACCAUAAACUAUGCCGACUAGGGAUCGGAUGAUGUUAAUUUAAUGACUCAUUCGGCGCCUUACG
rnacentral:rRNA from 1 species